rnacentral:rRNA from 1 species
GUGCCAGCCGCCGCGGUAAUACGUAGGUCCCGAGCGUUAUCCGGAUUUAUUGGGCGUAAAGCGAGCGCAGGCGGUUAGAUAAGUCUGAAGUUAAAGGCUGUGGCUUAACCAUAGUACGCUUUGGAAACUGUUUAACUUGAGUGCAGAAGGGGAGAGUGGAAUUCCAUGUGUAGCGGUGAAAUGCGUAGAUAUAUGGAGGAACACCGGUGGCGAAAGCGGCUCUCUGGUCUGUAACUGACGCUGAGGCUCGAAAGCGUGGGGAGCAAACAGGAUUAGAU